AAGACACCAACAAAGAAGCCUGUCGCUGCUGAUCCUCGGAAUCAUAGCUUGAUGUGCAUCUGGAACUAGCAGCAGCUUGCAAAUAGCAACUUGAAGGUUCAAACAAAUGUACAUAGUGAAAUUUAGAGUUCCAGCAGUACAUAUGUGCAGGAGUGCUGUUCACUUGGAACUUGUUGUGGUGGAGACGUUCGACAAAAUAAAUGUACAUAGG
rnacentral:lncRNA from 1 species